UAUGAGAUGCACGAGUUACGUUAAGUAGCAAGGUUAAGCACUUAAGGUGUGGAGCCGUAGCGAAAGCGAGUUUUAACUGAGCGUUCAGUUACUUGACGGAGACCCGAAACCGGGCGACCUACCCAUGAGCAGGAUGAAGCGAAAGUAAAAUUUCGUGGAGGUCCGAACCCACGAGCGUUGAAAAGCUCGGGGAUGACUUGUGGGUAGCGGUGAAAUUCCAAUCGAGCCCGGAGAUAGCUGGUUCUCCCCGAAAUAGCUUUAGGGCUAGCCUCAAGGUGAGAGAUACGGA
rnacentral:rRNA from 1 species